rnacentral:rRNA from 1 species
UUCAUCUCCGGGGGUAGAGCACUGUUUCGGCAAGGGGGUCAUCCCGACUUACCAACCCGAUGCAAACUGCGAAUACCGGAGAAUGUUAUCACGGGAGACACACGGCGGGUGCUAACGUCCGUCGUGAAGAGGGAAACAACCCAGACCGCCAGCUAAGGUCCCAAAGUCAUGGUUAAGUGGGAAACGAUGUGGGAAGGCCCAGACAGCCAGGAUGUUGGCUUAGAAGCAGCCAUCAUUUAAAGAAAGCGUAAUAGCUCACUGGUCGAGUCGGCCUGCGCGGAAGAUGUAACGGGGCUAAACCAUGCACCGAAGCUGCGGCAGCGACGCUUAUGCGUUGUUGGGUAGGGGAGCGUUCUGUAAGCCUGCGAAGGUGUGCUGUGAGGCAUGCUGGAGGUAUCAGAAGUGCGAAUGCUGACAUAAGUAACGAUAAAGCGGGUGAAAAGCCCGCUCGCCGGAAGACCAAGGGUUCCUGUCCAACGUUAAUCGGGGCAGGGUGAGUCGACCCCUAAGGCGAGGCCGAAAGGCGUAGUCGAUGGGAAACAGGUUAAUAUUCCUGUACUUGGUGUUACUGCGAAGGGGGGACGGAGAAGGCUAUGUUGGCCGGGCGACGGUUGUCCCGGUUUAAGCGUGUAGGCUGGUUUUCCAGGCAAAUCCGGAAAAUCAAGGCUGAGGCGUGAUGACGAGGCACUACGGUGCUGAAGCAACAAAUGCCCUGCUUCCAGGAAAAGCCUCUAAGCAUCAGGUAACAUCAAAUCGUACCCCAAACCGACACAGGUGGUCAGGUAGAGAAUACCAAGGCGCUUGAGAGAACUCGGGUGAAGGAACUAGGCAAAAUGGUGCCGUAACUUCGGGAGAAGGCACGCUGAUAUGUAGGUGAAGUCCCUUGCGGAUGGAGCUGAAAUCAGUCGAAGAUACCAGCUGGCUGCAACUGUUUAUUAAAAACACAGCACUGUGCAAACACGAAAGUGGACGUAUACGGUGUGACGCCUGCCCGGUGCCGGAAGGUUAAUUGAUGGGGUCAGCGCAAGCGAAGCUCUUGAUCGAAGCCCCGGUAAACGGCGGCCGUAACUAUAACGGUCCUAAGGUAGCGAAAUUCCUUGUCGGGUAAGUUCCGACCUGCACGAAUGGCGUAAUGAUGGCCAGGCUGUCUCCACCCGAGACUCAGUGAAAUUGAACUCGCUGUGAAGAUGCAGUGUACCCGCGGCAAGACGGAAAGACCCCGUGAACCUUUACUAUAGCUUGACACUGAACAUUGAGCCUUGAUGUGUAGGAUAGGUGGGAGGCUUUGAAGUGUGGACGCCAGUCUGCAUGGAGCCGGCCUUGAAAUACCACCCUUUAAUGUUUGAUGUUCUAACGUGGACCCGUGAUCCGGGUUGCGGACAGUGUCUGGUGGGUAGUUUGACUGGGGCGGUCUCCUCCUAAAGAGUAACGGAGGAGCACGAAGGUUGGCUAAUCCUGGUCGGACAUCAGGAGGUUAGUGCAAUGGCAUAAGCCAGCUUGACUGCGAGCGUGACGGCGCGAGCAGGUGCGAAAGCAGGUCAUAGUGAUCCGGUGGUUCUGAAUGGAAGGGCCAUCGCUCAACGGAUAAAAGGUACUCCGGGGAUAACAGGCUGAUACCGCCCAAGAGUUCAUAUCGACGGCGGUGUUUGGCACCUCGAUGUCGGCUCAUCACAUCCUGGGGCUGAAGUAGGUCCCAAGGGUAUGGCUGUUCGCCAUUUAAAGUGGUACGCGAGCUGGGUUUAGAACGUCGUGAGACAGUUCGGUCCCUAUCUGCCGUGGGCGCUGGAGAACUGAGGGGGGCUGCUCCUAGUACGAGAGGACCGGAGUGGACGCAUCACUGGUGUUCGGGUUGUCAUGCCAAUGGCACUGCCCGGUAGCUAAAUGCGGAAGAGAUAAGUGCUGAAAGCAUCUAAGCACGAAACUUGCCCCGAGAUGAGUUCUCCCUGACCCUUUAAGGGUCCUGAAGGAACGUUGAAGACGACGACGUUGAUAGGCCGGGUGUGUAAGCGCAGCGAUGCGUUGAGCUAACCGGUACUAAUGAACCGUGAGG